rnacentral:rRNA from 1 species
GUAGGGAAUAUUGGGCAAUGGAUGCAAGUCUGACCCAGCCAUCCCGCGUGCCGGAAGAAGGCCCUCAGGGUUGUAAACGGCUUUUGACGGUGAAGAAUCGACAGGAUGCGUCCUAUUUUGACGGUAGCCGUUGAAUAAGCACCGGCUAACUCCGUGCCAGCAGCCGCGGUAAUACGGAGGGUGCGAGCGUUGUCCGGAUUUAUUGGGUUUAAAGGGUGCGUAGGCUGGAAGGUCAGUCAGCGGUGAAAAGCUGUCGCUUAACGAUAGUCUUGCCGCAGAUACUUCCUUUCUUGGAUGAGGAGGAGGCCACUGGAACGGAUGGUGUAGCGGUGAAAUGCAUAGAUAUCAUCCAGAACACCGAUUGCGAAGGCAGGUGGCUGUACCUUAAUCGACGCUGAUGCACGAAAGCAUGGGGAGCAAACAGGAUUAGAAACCCCUGUAGUCC